GCUUAUGAUUAGUGGCUAUGAAGUGGAUUUAGGGUGUUAUGGUGAUGUAGUGUGAGAGGUUUUAUUGCUUAUGAUUAGUGGCUAUGAAGUGGAUUUAGGGUGUUAUGGUGAUGUAGUGUGAGAGGUUUUAUUGCUUAUGAUUAGUGGCUAUGAAGUGGAUUUAGGGUGUUAUGGUGAUGUAGUGUGAGAGGUUUUAUUGCUUAUGAUUAGUGGCUAUGAAGUGGAUUUAGGGUGUUAUGGUGAUGUAGUGUGAGAGGUUUUAUUGCUUAUGAUUAGUGGCUAUGAAGUGGAUUUAGGGUGUUAUGGUGAUGUAGUGUGAGAGGUUUUAUUGCUUAUGAUUAGUGGCUAUGAAGUGG